rnacentral:rRNA from 1 species
AGUGAACGCUGGCGGUAGGCCUAACACAUGCAAGUCGAACGGCAGCACAGUAAGAGCUUGCUCUUACGGGUGGCGAGUGGCGGACGGGUGAGGUAUACAUCGGACUCUACUUUUUCGUGGGGGAUCACGUAGGGAAACUUACGCUAAUACCGCAUACGACCUACGGGUGAAAGCAGUGGAUCUUCUGACCUUGUGCGAUUGAAUGAGCCGAUGUCCGAUUAGCUAGUUGGCGGGGUAAAGGCCCACCAAGGCGACGAUCCGUAGCUGGUCUGAGAGGAUGUACAGCCACACUGGAACUGAGACGCGGUCCAGACACCGACGGGAGGCAGCAGUGGGUAAGAGUGGACAAAGGCGCAAGCCUUAUCCAGCCAUACCGCGUGUGUGAAGAAGGCCUUCGGGUUGGAAAGCCCUUUUGUGGGGAAAGAAAAGCAGCAGGUUAAUACCCCGCUGUUCUGACGGUACCCAAAGAAUAAGCACCGGCUAACUUCGUG